GCACUUCUUCUUUGAUCUUCACAUCCAUAUCAUGGUGCGUUCUUCUCAAUUUUUUCUUGACUUGCGGGCAUUCUGGCUUCAAUGGCAAUCUAUGCUCCACAAUCUUAGAAUCCAAACCAUGCAUGUCUUGAUAGGACCAAACAAACACAUCUGAAUACUCUCGAAGAAGAUCAAUCAACCCCUCUUGACAUCUGGACACAGUCGAGACCCAAUCUUG
rnacentral:lncRNA from 1 species